GUGGGGAAUUUUGGACAAUGGGCGCAAGCCUGAUCCAGCAAUGCCGCGUGCAGGAAGAAGGCCUUCGGGUUGUAAACUGCUUUUGUACGGAACGAAACGGUCCUGGUUAAUACCUGGGGCUAAUGACGGUACCGUAAGAAUAAGCACCGGCUAACUACGUGCCAGCAGCCGCGGUAAUACGUAGGGUGCAAGCGUUAAUCGGAAUUACUGGGCGUAAAGCGUGCGCAGGCGGGUUUGUAAGACAGGCGUGAAAUCCCCGGGCUCAACCUGGGAAUUGCGCUUGUGACUGCAAGGCUGGAGUGCGGCAGAGGGGGAUGGAAUUCCGCGUGUAGCAGUGAAAUGCGUAGAUAUGCGGAGGAACACCGAUGGCGAAGGCAAUCCCCUGGGCCUGCACUGACGCUCAUGCACGAAAGCGUGGGGAGCAAACAGGAUUAGAUACCCGUGUAGUCC
rnacentral:rRNA from 1 species